UCUGUCCCCACCGAGGGGACUGUGGGAGCCAUGGAGGGUGUGUGAGCAACAGGUGAGACUGGAGCCAGCUGAAAACUGGGAGACCGACCCAGCCAACAAACAAUGUCGGUCUCUGUCCUGGCACCCGCAGGAAACAAGCUCCUACUUCCAGAAAAAGUGCUCCUGGGACUCCAGGAUACCAAGCAUCUGGGUAAGGUACAAUGCUUAACCACUUAACGCAAUCAGGAAGCAACAGCCAUGCAUUCGGGAAAGGAACUUCAGUGUUGUGUGGCUCAGUCUCCAGACCUAACUUUCCCUUUGGUACAGACGCGGUGGUACAUGCCACCACUUAGGCAGGAGGAUCACUCGAGCCCAGAAGAUCAAGACUAGUGUGAGCAACAAAAUGGGCGUGGUGGUGGGCACCUGUAAUCUCAGCUACUUGGAAGGCUGAGGCAGGAGAAUUGCUUGAACCCGGGAGGCGGAGGUCGCAGUGAGCCGAGAUCGCACCAUUGCACUCCAGCGUGGGCUACAGAACAAGACUCUGUCUCAAAAGGAAAAAAAAAAAAGAAUUCAGAAUUCACCUGUCGCCUGCUGCUGCAGUGAACAGUGAGUGGCAC
rnacentral:lncRNA from 1 species